rnacentral:rRNA from 1 species
UACAGAGGGUGCAAGCGUUAAUCGGAAUUACUGGGCGUAAAGCGUGCGUAGACGGUUGCGUAAGUCAGAUGUGAAAGCCCCGGGCUCAACCUGGGAAUUGCAUUUGAGACUGCGUAGCUAGGGUGCGGAAGAGGGAAGCGGAAUUUCCGGUGUAGCGGUGAAAUGCGUAGAUAUCGGAAGGAACACCAGUGGCGAAAGCGGCUUCCUGGGCCAGCACCGACGUUCAGGCACGAAAGCGUGGGGAGCAAACAGG